UCUGAGACAGGUGCUGCAUGGCUGUCGUCAGCUCGUGUUGUGAAAUGUUGGGUUAAGUCCCGCAACGAGCGCAACCCUUAUCCUUUGUUGCCAGCGAUUCGGUCGGGAACUCAAAGGAGACUGCCGGUGAUAAACCGGAGGAAGGUGGGGAUGACGUCAAGUCAUCAUGGCCCUUACGAGUAGGGCUACACACGUGCUACAAUGGCGUAUACAAAGAGAAGCGACCUCGCGAGAGCAAGCGGAACUCAUAAAGUACGUCGUAGUCCGGAUUGGAGUCUGCAACUCGACUCCAUGAAGUCGGAAUCGCUAGUAAUCGUAGAUCAGAAUGCUACGGUGAAUACGUUCCCGGGUCUGUAACACA
rnacentral:rRNA from 1 species